rnacentral:rRNA from 1 species
UACGUAGGGUGCGAGCGUUGCCCGGAUUUAUUGGGCGUAAAGGGCGCGUAGGCGGUCAGCACAAGUCAGUUGUGAAAUCUCCGGGCUUAACUCGGAAAGGUCAACUGAUACUGUGCGACUAGAGUGCAGAAGGGGCAACUGGAAUUCUCGGUGUAGCGGUGAAAUGCGUAGAUAUCGAGAGGAACACCUGCGGCGAAGGCGGGUUGCUGGGCUGACACUGACGCUGAUGCGCGAAAGCCAGGGGAGCGAACGGG